CAGUCGCCACGGGAAAACAGAGGAUGCAAGCGUUAUCCGGAAUGAUUGGGCGUAAAGCGUGCGCAGGCGGUUAUAUAAGUCAGAUGUGAAAUCCCUGGGCUCAACCUGGGAACUGCAUUUGAGACUGUAUGGCUAGAGUGUGUCAGAGGGGGGUAGAAUUCCACGUGUAGCAGUGAAAUGCGUAGAUAUGUGGAGGAAUACCGAUGGCGGAGGCAGCCCCCUGGGAUAACACUGACGCUCAUGCACGAAAGCGUGGGGAGCAAACAGGAUUAGAUACCCCAGUAGUCCCUGUCUCUUAUAC
rnacentral:rRNA from 1 species